rnacentral:rRNA from 1 species
UCAUUAAGUGAAUACAUAGCUUAAUGAGGGGAACUCAGGGAACUGAAACAUCUAAGUACCUGAAGGAAGAGAAAGAAAUUCGAUUCCGUAAGUAGCGGCGAGCGAACGCGGAUUAGCCCAAACCAAUAAAGUUGUCUUUAUUGGGGUUGCGGACAUAUCAUAACGAAGAGGUAUCGUAAUUGAAGAGGUUUGGAAAGACCCACCACAGAAGGUAAUAGUCCUGUAUGUUAAACGAGAAGACUU